rnacentral:rRNA from 1 species
UACGUAGGGUGCAAGCGUUGUCCGGAAUUAUUGGGCGUAAAGAGCUCGUAGGCGGUUUGUCGCGUCGAAUGUGAAAACCCGGGGCUCAACCCCGGGCCUGCAUUCGAUACGGGCAGACUAGAGUUCGGUAGGGGAGUCUGGAAUUCCUGGUGUAGCGGUGAAAUGCGCAGAUAUCAGGAGGAACACCGGUGGCGAAGGCGGGUCUCUGGGCCGUAACUGACGCUGAGGAAGCGGAAAGCAUG